GGUUAAGCGACUAAGCGUACACGGUGGAUGCCCUGGCAGUCAGAGGCGAUGAAGGACGUGCUAAUCUGCGAAAAGCGUCGGUAAGGUGAUAUGAACCGUUAUAGCCGGCGAUGUCCGAAUGGGGAAACCCAGUGCAAUUCGUUGCACUAUCGUUAACUGAAUACAUAGGUUAACGAGGCGAACCGGGGGAACUGAAACAUCUAAGUACCCCGAGGAAAAGAAAUCAACCGAGAUUCCCCCAGUAGCGGCGAGCGAACGGGGAGCAGCCCAGAGUCUGAAUCAGCUUGUGUGUUAGUGGAACGGUCUGGAAAGUCCGACGGUACAGGGUGAUAGUCCCGUACACCAAAAUGCACAGGCUGUGAACUCGAAGAGUAGGGCGGGACACGUGGUAUCCUGUCUGAAUAUGGGGGGACCAUCCUCCAAGGCUAAAUACUCCUGACUGACCGAUAGUGAACCAGUACCGUGAGGGAAAGGCGAAAAAAAGAACCCCGGCGAGGGGAGUGAAAAAAGAACCUGAAACCG
rnacentral:ncRNA from 1 species